AUUGAACGCUGGCGGCAGGCCUAACACAUGCCAGUCGAGCGGAUGAAGGGAGCUUGCUCCUGGAUUCAGCGGCGGACGGGUGAGUAAUGCCUAGGAAUCUGCCUGGUAGUGGGGGAUAACGUCCGGAAACGGGCGCUAAUACCGCAUAUGUCCUGAGGGAGAAAGUGGGGGAUCUUCGGACCUCACGCUAUCAGAUGAGCCUAGGUCGGAUUAGCUAGUUGGUGGGGUAAAGGCCUACCAAGGCGACGAUCCGUAACUGGUCUGAGAGGAUGAACAGUCACACUGGAACUGAGACACGGUCCAGACUCCUACGGGAGGCAGCAGUGGGGAAUAUUGGACAAUGGGCGAAAGCCUGAUCCAGCCAUGCCGCGUGUGUGAAGAAGGUCUUCGGAUUGUAAAGCACUUUAAGUUGGGAGGAAGGGCAGUAAGUUAAUACCUUGCUGUUUUGACGUUACCAACAGAAUAAGCACCGGCUAACUUCGUG
rnacentral:rRNA from 1 species